AACGAACGCUGGCGGCAUGCCUAACACAUGCAAGUCGAACGAGACCUUCGGGUCUAGUGGCGCACGGGUGCGUAACGCGUGGGAACCUGCCCUUAGGUUCGGAAUAACUCCCCGAAAGGGGUGCUAAUACCGGAUAAUGUCUUCGGACCAAAGAUUUAUCGCCUUUGGAUGGGCCCGCGUUGGAUUAGCUAGUUGGUAGGGUAAAAGCCUACCAAGGCGACGAUCCAUAGCUGGUCUGAGAGGAUGAUCAGCCACACUGGGACUGAGACACGGCCCAGACUCCUACGGGAGGCAGCAGUGGGGAAUAUUGGACAAUGGGCGAAAGCCUGAUCCAGCAAGGCCGCGUGAGUGAUGAAGGCCUUAGGGUUGUAAAGCUCUUUUACCCGGGAUGAUAAUGACAGUACCGGGAGAAUAAGCACCGGCUAACUCCGU
rnacentral:rRNA from 1 species